CACAUUACAUCUCAUUUAUUUCAUAAAUAUGACAAAUAUUGUCAUUUUCUUUAUAUUAUAACAUGUAUCAAACAUUGUGUGUCUAGAAUAUCAAUAUGAACACCAUUAUCAUAACACAAUUGAAUAAGAUGCCAUAUUUAGCGAGAAGUUUUGUGAAGAAAAUUUUCUGUGAUGCUUCUGUUACAGCAGUUCACAGUUUGGCCAUUGUUCGAUAGCACUGCUGAUUGAUUUUAUCCUUAUGAAACUCCUCAAAGUGUUGUCUGGAAUGGAUAAGUCAGGAAACAAUUCAUUAAGGCAUUCUCAAACUCUAAUAGCAAAAUGCAUAGGAGCUCCAUCUUCUUGCAGGAUUAUGGCAUUUGCUACAAUAUUAGAAUAUUUGAAGAAAAAAGCAUACUUGCCACUGCAAAACUUCUUGCUAAGCAUUGCAUCAUAUUCAGUAAUUAUUAUUGUGUAUCCACUAUAUCAAUAUGAUGCUCAUAUUGAUAUAGUGGAUACACAAUGUUCAAUACAUGUUAUGAUGUGGAGCAGGUGACAAUAUCUGUUGUACUUCUGAAAUAAAU
rnacentral:lncRNA from 1 species